GUUCAGGUAGCUCAGCUGGUUAGAGAAAAGGACUGAAAAUCCUUAUGUUAGUGAUUCGAAUCCACUUUUAAGCG
rnacentral:tRNA from 1 species